rnacentral:tRNA from 2 species
GACUCGGUAGCUCAGCAGGUAGAGCACAACACUUUUAAUGUUGGGGUCCUGGGUUCGAGCCCCAGCCGAGUCACCA